AUUCCAUUAGAGAAAAACUUCAACAAUGGUUCUAUGAAAAAGGUUAAGUAAUGGUCUAUGAAGACUAUUUUAACUAGUUGGGCAAAGUCUAGUUGCGAGAGCUGCACAAUCAAUCAAGAACCUUCAAGUUAAAUGUCAAGUUGGACAACCGCGAAAACAAAGAAUUUUGUCAAUUGGUGAAAAGAAAAAGAACUUGAAGAAGUGAAGUCGAUGUCAUUAGCGUGGCCAUAACUGUAGAAGGAUUUUGCAAAGUAUCGGUGCCCUAGAAAUUGAGGCAAGGAAGUAAACGUCUUGUCAAGCGACGUGACAACUCACUGUGGGAAAAGAAACAACAAUAGCUUCUUUAAGAAGAGAACAUGAACAGUUGGACAAUUAAGAGUUUGGCUUCCCAAUAAGAUAAGGUGUGCAUCUCAAAAGAAAAGUCAAAUCGUUGCCUGACAAACAAGCAAAAUGUUGAGCUUGGAUUGGUAGCAAAUACGGUAUGUGCUACGACAACACAUGUAAGGCACAUAAGUGACCCUUGGAUGUGAAGUCUAUAUAAUUAGGACGGGAAAGCCUAAGAAAAGGGCAUUUUUCCAAAAAUAAAAAAAAGAAAGAAAAGAAAAGAGUAGACCAUCCUGAUGAAGGAAAAAGGAGAAAGUUUCAAAUGUUGAACGAACAGAUUCUCUAACCAUCAGAUGAAAAGAAGUAGUUGGAAGCCGAGAAGGGAGAAGUUAAGGCUAAUUAUUUUGUGUAACUCGCGUGAUACUGGUGAGAGCGAAUCCCAGGUCAGCGAGGGAAGAAUUUCCAAGUCAGGGCGAGUUGUGAGAAAGAUGUGGCGAGACGUUGUUGGAUAUCCCAGGUAACUCUCAUAAUAUUAGCGAAAGCAAAUCCCACGUCAGCGAGGCGAGAUUCAUAGGUCUUAGAAUGGACUUGUUGUAAAAUGAUUCCAGCGUAUGUCGUUGUACUGCUGUUGAGAGAAAGAUGUGGAUGAGACGCUGGUGGAGUGCUACUCCCAGGUCUAAAAAUGUGAAUGUGGUGAGACGCUGUUGGAUAUCUCAAGUAACUCACAUGAUACUAGAGAGAGCGAAUCUCAGGUCAGCGAAGGGAGAUUUUCAGGUCUUAUAAAGACAUUGUGGUAUUGAUCGAAAUACAAUUAGUAACUCAUAACGUAGUUUUUGAAUGGCAGUUGUUAUGCGAUAUGUGUUAUCUGUUUACUGCGACGAACUUCGUGUGUUAGGACUUACUGCUUAUUUUAUUGUGGAUUUCUUGUGAUUUCCCCAAAAGGUUUUCUCAAAUCCAUUACUCACUACGUCCAUUGACUUACUUUUUAAGUGUUUUCCCUCCCCUGGUUGUUAGGCAUUGAGGCUAAGCUACGGAGGGAGGACAGAGUUUCUGUAUACAUGGCACGUUGGCCAUGGAAACUUGUAUUACUCCUAAGGAGCCUGUUGGAAAGCACAUUGCUCCUUAGUGCGGAUGGCCAGACUUAGAAGGCAGGCGAGUGCAAUACCCAGGUUGGUAAAAGCCUAACUCGGUGAGCCAGAGCGCCAAAGAGCUGAGCUAGGGAAAGAGCAACCUUAACGCAUUUUGCUAAGAGAGGUAGUUGGGAAACCUUAGUGGAGAAGGAAGUGUCACCUUUACACCUCUAGGUAUCCUUUACAAGGAGCAGCGUUACUGGCAAAAAGCGAGAAAGAAGACUUCGAAGGAUGCCCUUAGGGAGAACUGCUGAGAACAAGAGGAAAAAUGGUUGAGAUCGAGAGUUUUAUACUCAUGAACACCUUGGCACAAAAGAGGUACCUAGGUAGAAGAAGGACACGAGAAGACCAUGUUGUUUAUUUGUACAAGCAGAGUAUAAUUGUAAUAUGUAAUUGUAAGGCCUUAAGUUAAUAAAGGAAGGAGUUCAAGUUUUUUGCUGUCC